AGAGAAAGAAAGAUGCUAAGAAACCAAGGGGGAAGGAAGAAAAGGAAGAGAGAGAGCCUUGUGGGUUAUUAAAACUCAAGCUAAAAAUUAUGGAAAAUUCAUCAUGAGGUCACGCGCUAUUGUCUGCCUAAUUUAUCUGAUAUGUCCAGUCCGUCUGAUUUGCUUCUGCGGCUAUCUGUGAUCAGGCGCGUGACCAGGCUUAGAGGCAUCUGCCAAGAAUCUGUUUUUGUCAGCCAACCUAUGUGCCUCCCGUGGAGGUUCCGGAUACGUUAAGUGAUUAUGGCUAUGUGAUUUAAAGCUUAAGUUUUGUUUUCGUGUUUGGUUGAACAAGUCUUGUGUAUUUUGUAAAUAGGGCCAAGUCCCUUUUUGUCUAAUCUGCAUAUAUAUAAUGACUUAAAGAUAAUGUGUAUAUAUGUAUACAAAAAUUUUAAAUUUUUUUUGUCUCAUAUAAGUCUGCACA